GUCGCUCAGCUGCCUUCAUCCGUGGAAAACGUUUCGAGUGCGAGAACCUUCCUUCCUCCAUGACGAGAAUGGGGCUGCUCGAUCCCAUAACACGCGGUGAUUGUGGAGACUGGAAGAAAGCAUGAGAGAGGUCCGGUUGCUCGUGACGACCUGGUAAGCUAGGGCAUGUUGUAUGAUCCAGACUUUCAGAUUCUGGCUAUGGCAAGACAGUGAAGUAGUAGUAAUCGAGCAAUUCAUGGCAUCCAGUGGUGACGUCCAGUUGAAACAGCAGGCUGUAAUUGAAUUUCUGACUGCGGAAGGUUGUGCGCAUAUCAACAUUCAUCGCCAUCUGACUGCAGUUUACGGGGAUGCCUAUGUUGAAGUCAGCACUGUGCAGAGGUGGACAAGGACUGUGAAAGACUAAAAUCCUGCCGCAUCAAAUUUCCAGGAUCAGCACCGAAAUGGACAGCCCACAAUGGCUUCUGAUGAGGGUCAUGAACAUCAGGCAGAUAAGUUUACUCAGGGCAAUCGCAGGAUCAAGCAACACCAGAUUGCAACAACACUCAUCUUACAUCUUACACUCAACUUACAUUCAUCGGAUAAUAUAACACAUGGCAUUGUUGUUUUGCCUGCCUCCUCAGGAAUAUACAUUAUUAAUAGGAGUAGAAAUCAGCAUUUUCACAGAAGCUUGCUCCUUUAACAAGAGGCACAAAUGAUGCUGUUCUUCAGAUUUCCCAGGCAAACAAUGCAAGCAUCACUAUACUCACAAUCACAAACAAUGCAAGCAUCACUAUACUAAGCAUCACUAAGCUGACCUUUAUUUUUUUUUAAUCUAUGACCUACACAGUGCCUGGUAACAACCGCUCUCUCAGAACUAUUUGGCAUCUCUACUAGAAGCCCUACCUACACCUUUUAACAUCAUCUUAGACAUCUCCACUAAGCAAGCACAUAAUCCUGCUGGUAUUUUUGUUACAGAGGUUUUCACUAAAGAUCUUCCAAGCAAGAA